rnacentral:rRNA from 1 species
ACUCCUACGGGAGGCAGCAGUGGGGAAUAUUGCACAAUGGGCGCAAGCCUGAUGCAGCAACGCCGCGUGAGCGAUGAAGGCCUUCGGGUCGUAAGCUCUGUCCUCAAGGAAGAAUAAAUGACGGUACUUGAGGAGGGAAGCCCCGGGCUAACUACGUGCCAGCAGCCGCGGUAAUACGUAGGGGGGCAAGCGUUUAUCCGGAAUCACUGGGCGUAAGGGUGCGUAGGCGGUUUUUUCAAGUCAGAAGUGAGAGGCUAUGGCUCAACCAUAGUAAGCUUUUUGAAACUGUUAAACUUGAGUGCAGGAGAGGAAAGUGGAAUUCCUAGUGUAGAGGUGAAAUUCGUAGAUAUUAGGAGGAACACCAGUGGCGAAGGCGACUUUCUGGACUGUAACUGACGCUGAGGCACGAAAGCGUGGGGAGGCGAACAGGAUUAGAUACCCUCGGUAACACAGAG